UACGUAGGGCGCAAGCGUUAUCCGGAAUUAUUGGGCGUAAAGAGCUCGUAGGCGGUUUGUCGCGUCUGCCGUGAAAGUCCGGGGCUCAACUCCGGAUCUGCGGUGGGUACGGGCAGACUAGAGUGAUGUAGGGGAGACUGGAAUUCCUGGUGUAGCGGUGAAAUGCGCAGAUAUCAGGAGGGACACCGGUGGCGAAGGCGGGUCUCUGGGCCGAAACUGACGCUGAGGAGCGAAAGCGUGGGGAGCAAACAGG
rnacentral:rRNA from 1 species